UACGGAGGAUCCAAGCGUUAUCCGGAUUUAUUGGGUUUAAAGGGAGCGUAGGUUGACAUAUAAGUCAGCUGUGAAAGUUUACGGCUCAACCGUGAAAUUGCAGUUGAUACUGUAUGUCUUGAGUGUACAAGAGGUGGGCGGAAUUCGUGGUGUAGCGGUGAAAUGCUUAGAUAUCACGAAGAACUCCAAUUGCGAAGGCAGCUCACUGGGGUACAACUGACACUGAGGCUCGAAAGUGUGGGUAUCAAACAGGAUUAGAUACCCUGGUAGUCCACACAGUAAGCGAUGAAUACUCGCUGUUUGCGAUAUACAGUAAGCGGCCAAGCGAACGCAUUAAGUAUUCCACCUGGGGAGUACGCCGGCAACGGUGA
rnacentral:rRNA from 1 species